AUUGAACGCUGGCGGCAUGCCUUACACAUGCAAGUCGAACGGUAACAGGUCUUCGGAUGCUGACGAGUGGCGAACGGGUGAGUAAUACAUCGGAACGUGCCCAGUAAUGGGGGAUAGCUCGGCGAAAGCCGGAUUAAUACCGCAUACGCCCUGAGGGGGAAAGUGGGGGACCGCAAGGCCUCACGUUAUUGGAGCGGCCGAUGGCUGAUUAGCUAGUUGGUAGGGUAAAGGCCUACCAAGGCGACGAUCAGUAGCUGGUCUGAGAGGACGAUCAGCCACACUGGGACUGAGACACGGCCCAGACUCCUACGGGAGGCAGCAGUGGGGAAUAUUGCACAAUGGGGGGAACCCUGAUGCAGCCAUGCCGCGUGUGUGAAGAAUGCCUUCGGGUUGUAAAGCACUUUCAGUGGUGAGGAAGGGCGUAAGAUUAAUACCCUUGCGCAUUGACGUUAGCCACAGAAGAAGCACCGGCUAACUACGUGCCAGCAGCCGCGGUAAUACGUAGGGUGCAAGCGUUAAUCGGAAUUACUGGGCGUAAAGCGUGCGCAGGCGGUUGUGUAAGACAGGUGUGAAAUCCCCGGGCUUAACCUGGGAAUUGCAUUUGUGACUGCACGACUAGAGUGUGUCAGAGGGGGGUGGAAUUCCACGUGUAGCAGUGAAAUGCGUAGAUAUGUGGAGGAACACCAAUGGCGAAGGCAGCCCCCUGGGAUAACACUGACGCUCAUGCACGAAAGCGUGGGGAGCAAACAGGAUUAGAUACCCUGGUAGUCCACGCCCUAGACGAUGUCAACUAGUUGUUGGGGAUUUACUUCCUUGGUAACGUAGCUAACGCGUGAAGUUGACCGCCUGGGGAGUACGGCCGCAAGGUUAAAACUCAAAGGAAUUGACGGGGACCCACACAAGCGGUGGAUGAUGUGGAUUAAUUCGAUGCAACGCGAAAAGCCUUACCUACCCUUGACAUGGCAGGAACUUUCCAGAGAUGGAUUGGUGCUCGAAAGAGAACCUGCACACAGGUGCUGCAUGGCUGCCGUCAGCUCGUGUCGUGAGAUGUUGGGUUAAGUCCCGCAACGAGCGCAACCCUUGUCAUUAGUUGCUACGAAAGGGCACUCUAAUGAGACUGCCGGUGACAAACCGGAGGAAGGUGGGGAUGACGUCAAGUCCUCAUGGCCCUUAUGGGUAGGGCUUCACACGUCAUACAAUGGUCGGUACAGAGGGUUGCCAAGCCGCGAGGUGGAGCCAAUCCCAGAAAACCGAUCGUAGUCCGGAUCGCAGUCUGCAACUCGACUGCGUGAAGUCGGAAUCGCUAGUAAUCGCGGAUCAGAAUGCCGCGGUGAAUACGUUCCCGGGUCUUGUACACACCGCCCGUCACACCAUGGGAGUGGGUUCUACCAGAAGUGGCUAGUCUAACCGCAAGGGGGACGGUCACCACGGUAGGAUUCAUGACUGGGGUG
rnacentral:rRNA from 1 species